AGAAGAAGAAGGAGGAGGAGGAAAGGAGAGAAUGUGGUGAUCCUUAAUGCUGAGAAUAUGGUUCUCUCCAUUUUAUGCACCAUUCUUUCAGUUUGUCAGUUACCUUACUCAUUGCAUGCACCUUAUAGUUUACUGACUGAUGUUGUAAAUUGUCUUCCAUCAACAAAUUAUUAAUGCUGACCGCCAGAUAUUAGGCUCUUUACUACAAUGCCUCUGUUGUAAAACAGUCAAAGGCAAGGAAUGUCGCUUCAUAUGGUGGAUGAAUGGGUUAAAUCGCUACUUUGGUCUG
rnacentral:misc_RNA from 1 species